rnacentral:rRNA from 1 species
AACCUGGUUGAUCCUGCCAGUAGUCAUAUGCUUGUUUCAAGGAUUAAGCCAUGCAUGUCUAAGUAUAAGCUCUUGUACGGCUAGACUGCAGACGGCUCAUUACAACGGUUGUAGCUUCCAGGACAUCCGGGUCGCAAGACCUUCUGGAUAACCGCAGUAAAUCGGGGCUAAUACAUACAAACGGAGGGAUGGAUAGGGCAACCUUGAAGUUUCUGCGAUGGACACUUAGCUAUUCGACCAGCCCUGGCAACAGGAAUGGUUGGAACCGGUUCAUAUUGCUAAUCGACUCUAGCUUGCUAGCAGUCUGAUAAGUCCUAUAGACAACCGCCCUAUCAACUUGAUGGUAAGGUUUUGGCUUACCAUGGUUGUAACGGGUAACGGGGAAUCAGGGUUCGAUUCCGGAGAGGACGCCUGAGAAACGGCGUCCACAUCUACGGGUGGCAGCAGGCGCGUAAAUUGCCCAAUCUCAACAGAGAGGAGGCGGUGACAAUAAAUCCCGAUGGCUUUGGGGGCAACCCCAGGCCAAUCAGAAUAAGUACACAUUAAAUCCCUUAACCAAUAUAAUUGGAGGGCAAGUCUGGUGCCAGCAGCCGCGGUAAUUCCAGCUCCAAUAGCAUAUACUAAUGUUGUUGCAGUUAAAACGCUCGUAGCUCAAUUACUUUUGAGCUUAUUACGGUUGUUCAUUAGUUUGCUUAAAGGCCUCACGGCUAAUAGGUAAAUUGAUACGACCGGCUCAAACACUGUAGGUCAUGGCAUUAGGGAGCAAUUUCUAGUGUCAUAAUCGACUGUGCAUAAACCUUGAUGCUCAAGGUAGGCCUUUUAUAGGGCAGAUACACAGUGCAUGGCAUUGUGGAACAAGGCAUCUCGCGGCUUAGUUGGUGGGCCGCGGGGGCAAUGAUUAAUAGGGAGGAGCGGGGGCCUUCAUAUUGCAGGGCGAGAGGUGAAAUUCGUUGACCCUUGCAAGAUGUCCGACAGCGAAAGCAUUGGCCAAGUGCCUCUCCAUUAGUCAAGAACGAAAGUUUGGGGAUCAAAGACGAUCAGAUACCGUCGUAGUCCAAACCAUAAACUAUGUCGACCAGCGAUUAGGCGCGCUACCUUCUUCGAGAGCUGCCUAGCAGCUUGUGGGAAACCAUGAGUGCUUGGACUCUGGGGGGAGUAUGGUCGCAAGUCUGAAACUUAAAGGAAUUGACGGAAGGGCACACCAUGGAGUGGAGCCUGCGGCUUAAUUUGACUCAACACGGGAAAGCUUACCAAGCUCAGAUAUGAUAAGGAUUGACAGACUAAAAGAUCUUUCAUGAUCUCAUAAGUGGUGGUGCAUGGUCGUUCUUAGUUGGUGGAGUGAUUUGUCAGGUCAAUUCCGGUAACGGACGAGACCUCGACCUGCUAACUAGUGGGGUUCAUUCUUUCGCUUGACGAGGCAGGUUUUGCCUUUGAUUACAGAAGGGGGGCAACUUUCUUUUGUAGUUGGGGUAGAGUUUGUAGUAGUCUGGAGGAGUGGACUUCAAAAAUUAAAAAUAAUCUUCCUAGAGGUACUUCUGGCUCUAAGUCAGAGGAAGUCCGAGGCAAUAACAGGUCUGUGAUGCCCUUAAAUAUCUUGGGCCGCACGCGUGCUACAAUGUAGGCGCUAGAAAGUCAUAAUUAAAACCAUCUCCGCAAGGAGUAUGGUAAUCUUAUAAUCACCUGCGUGAUUGGGCUUGACCACUGUAACUGUGGUCAUCAACGAGGAAUUCCUUGUAUGCGCGAGUCACUAUCUCGCGCAGAAUCUGUCCCUGCCCUUUGUACACACCGCCCGUCGCUCCUACCGAUCGAACGAUCAGGUAAAGUGGACAGACACGAAGCUCGCAAGAGCUUUUGGAAGUCCAUUGAACCUCGCCGUUUAGAGGAAGGAGAAGUCGUAACAAGGUAUCGGUAGGUGAACCUGCAGAAGGAUCAA